rnacentral:rRNA from 1 species
UUUCCGUAGGUGAACCUGCGGAAGGAUCAUUGUCAAAACCUGCAAAGCAGAACGACCCGAGAACUUGUAAAAAAUCAUUUUUUGGGUAAGACGGCGGGGUGAACGCUCAACCGUCUGCCCCUUGGAUCAUGUGGGGUGGUCGCGUCGCUCUUGUGAUGUGGAUGCCCUUCGUCGGUUCGAACAACAAACUCGGCGCGAUCUGCGCCAAGAAAUUGAACUAAAGGAUUGAGCAUCUUCUUCUUGAUGAUGUUACGAUUCCAAUAUUUAAACGACUCUCGACAAUGGAUAUCUCGGCUCUCGCAUCGAUGAAGAACGUAGCGAAAUGCGAUACUUGGUGUGAAUUGCAGAAUCCCGUGAACCAUCGAGUCUUUGAACGCAAGUUGCGCCCAAGGCCAUUAGGCCGAGGGCACGUCUGCCUGGGCGUCACGCACAACGUCGUUCCACCCAUAAUAUCUUUCACCUUAGUCGGGUAAGGAAUUGAUGUAUGGAAGCGGAUAUUGGCCCCCCGUGCCUUACAGGUGCGGUCGGCUCAAAAUUUGGCCUCGGGGAUGAGCGUCACGAUCAGUGGUGGUUUUAAAACCCCCUUGUCAUUGACCGAAAUUGUGUCGUCUCACCCCAUAUCAGGCUAUGCGGACCCUUGUCUGUCGUUAGCACGACAUUCACUUUGCGACCCCAGGUCAGGCGGGACUACCCGCUGAAUUUAA